GGUUAAGCGACUAAGCGUACACGGUGGAUGCCCUGGCAGUCAGAGGCGAUGAAGGACGUGCUAAUCUGCGAAAAGCGCCGGCGAGGUGAUAUGAACCUUUGACCCGGCGAUGUCCGAAUGGGGAAACCCAGUGCAAUCCGUUGCACUAUCGUUAACUGAAUACAUAGGUUAACGAGGCGAACCGGGGGAACUGAAACAUCUAAGUACCCCGAGGAAAAGAAAUCAACCGAGAUUCCCCCAGUAGCGGCGAGCGAACGGGGAGCAGCCCGGAGUCUGAAUCAGCUUGUGUGUUAGUGGAACGGUCUGGAAAGUCCGACGGUACAGGGUGAUAGUCCCGUACACGAAAAUGCACAUGCUGUGAACUCGAAGAGUAGGGCGGGACACGUGGUAUCCUGUCUGAAUAUGGGGGGACCAUCCUCCAAGGCUAAAUACUCCUGACUGACCGAUAGUGAACCAGUACCGUGAGGGAAAGGCGAAAAGAACCCCGGCGAGGGGAGUGAAAAAGAACCUGAAACCGUGUACGUACAAGCAGUGGGGAGCUCUUUAUGGGGUGACUGCGUACCUUUUGUAUAAUGGGUCAGCGACUUAUAUUCUGUAGCAAGGUUAACCGUAUAGGGGAGCCGAAGGGAAACCGAGUCUUAACUGGGCGUUAAGUUGCAGGGUAUAGACCCGAAACCCGGUGAUCUAGCCAUGGGCAGGUUGAAGGUUGGGUAACACUAACUGGAGGACCGAACCGACUAAUGUUGAAAAAUUAGCGGAUGACCUGUGGCUGGGGGUGAAAGGCCAAUCAAACCGGGAGAUAGCUGGUUCUCCCCGAAAGCUAUUUAGGUAGCGCCUCGUGAAUUCAUCUUCGGGGGUAGAGCACUGUUUCGGCUAGGGGGCCAUCCCGGCUUACCAACCCGAUGCAAACUACGAAUACCGAAGAAUGUUAUCACGGGAGACACACGGCGGGUGCUAACGUCCGUCGUGAAGAGGGAAACAACCCAGACCGCCAGCUAAGGUCCCAAAGUCAUGGUUAAGUGGGAAACGAUGUGGGAAGGCACAGACAGCCAGGAUGUUGGCUUAGAAGCAGCCAUCAUUUAAAGAAAGCGUAAUAGCUCACUGGUCGAGUCGGCCUGCGCGGAAGAUGUAACGGGGCUAAACCAUGCACCGAAGCUGCGGCAGCGACACUAUGUGUUGUUGGGUAGGGGAGCGUUCUGUAAGCCGUUGAAGGUGUGCUGUGAGGCAUGCUGGAGGUAUCAGAAGUGCGAAUGCUGACAUAAGUAACGAUAAAGCGGGUGAAAAGCCCGCUCGCCGGAAGACCAAGGGUUCCUGUCCAACGUUAAUCGGGGCAGGGUGAGUCGACCCCUAAGGCGAGGCCGAAAGGCGUAGUCGAUGGGAAACAGGUUAAUAUUCCUGUACUUGGUGUUACUGCGAAGGGGGGACGGAGAAGGCUAUGUCAGCCGGGCGACGGUUGUCCCGGUUUAAGCAUGUAGGCGGAGGUUCCAGGUAAAUCCGGUACCUUUUAACGCUGAGGUGUGAUGACGAGGCACUACGGUGUGAAAGUGAUAAAUGCCCUGCUUCCAGGAAAAGCCUCUAAGCAUCAGGUAACACGAAAUCGUACCCCAAACCGACACAGGUGGUCAGGUAGAGAAUACCAAGGCGCUUGAGAGAACUCGGGUGAAGGAACUAGGCAAAAUGGUGCCGUAACUUCGGGAGAAGGCACGCUGAUGUGUAGGUGAAGCCCCUGCGGGCGGAGCUGAAAUCAGUCGAAGAUACCAGCUGGCUGCAACUGUUUAUUAAAAACACAGCACUGUGCAAACACGAAAGUGGACGUAUACGGUGUGACGCCUGCCCGGUGCCGGAAGGUUAAUUGAUGGGGUUAGCGGCAACGCGAAGCUCUUGAUCGAAGCCCCGGUAAACGGCGGCCGUAACUAUAACGGUCCUAAGGUAGCGAAAUUCCUUGUCGGGUAAGUUCCGACCUGCACGAAUGGCGUAAUGAUGGCCAGGCUGUCUCCACCCGAGACUCAGUGAAAUUGAACUCGCUGUGAAGAUGCAGUGUACCCGCGGCAAGACGGAAAGACCCCGUGAACCUUUACUAUAGCUUGACACUGAACACUGGUCCUUGAUGUGUAGGAUAGGUGGGAGGCUUUGAAGCGUGGACGCCAGUCUGCGUGGAGCCGACCUUGAAAUACCACCCUUUAAUGGCUGGUGUUCUAACGUGGACCCGUAAUCCGGGUUGCGGACAGUGUCUGGUGGGUAGUUUGACUGGGGCGGUCUCCUCCCAAAGAGUAACGGAGGAGCACGAAGGUUGGCUAAUCCUGGUCGGACAUCAGGAGGUUAGUGCAAUGGCAUAAGCCAGCUUGACUGCGAGCGUGACGGCGCGAGCAGGUGCGAAAGCAGGUCAUAGUGAUCCGGUGGUUCUGAAUGGAAGGGCCAUCGCUCAACGGAUAAAAGGUACUCCGGGGAUAACAGGCUGAUACCGCCCAAGAGUUCAUAUCGACGGCGGUGUUUGGCACCUCGAUGUCGGCUCAUCACAUCCUGGGGCUGAAGUAGGUCCCCCCCAAGGGUAUGGCUGUUCGCCAUUUAAAGUGGUACGCGAGCUGGGUUUAGAACGUCGUGAGACAGUUCGGUCCCUAUCUGCCGUGGGCGCUGGAGAAUUGAGGGGGGCUGCUCCUAGUACGAGAGGACCGGAGUGGACGCAUCACUGGUGUUCGGGUUGUCAUGCCAAUGGCACUGCCCGGUAGCUAAAUGCGGAAGAGAUAAGUGCUGAAAGCAUCUAAGCACGAAACUUGCCCCGAGAUGAGUUCUCCCUGAGACUUUAAGUCUCCUGAAGGAACGUUGAAGACGACGACGUUGAUAGGUCGGGUGUGUAAGCGCAGCGAUGCGUUGAGCUAACCGAUACUAAUGAACCGUGAGGCUUAACCUU
rnacentral:rRNA from 1 species